AGAGUUUGAUCAUGGCUCAGAACGAACGCUGGCGGCAUGCCUAACACAUGCAAGUCGAACGAACUCUUCGGAGUUAGUGGCGCACGGGUGCGUAACGCGUGGGAAUCUGCCCUUGGGUACGGAAUAACUCAGAGAAAUUUGUGCUAAUACCGUAUAAUGUCUUCGGACCAAAGAUUUAUCGCCCAAGGAUGAGCCCGCGUAAGAUUAGCUAGUUGGUGGGGUAAAAGCCUACCAAGGCGACGAUCUUUAGCUGGUCUGAGAGGAUGAUCAGCCACACUGGGACUGAGACACGGCCCAGACUCCUACGGGAGGCAGCAAUGGGAAUAUUGGACAAUGGGCGAAAGCCUGAUCCAGCAAUGCCGCGUGAGUGAUGAAGGCCUUAGGGUUGUAAAGCUCUUUUACCCGGGAUGAUAAUGACAGUAUCGGGAGAAUAAGCUCCGGCUAACUUCGUG
rnacentral:rRNA from 1 species